UACAGAGGUGGCAAGCGUUGUUCGGAAUUAUUGGGCGUAAAGAGCUCGUAGGCGGUUUGUCGCGUCUGCCGUGAAAGUCCGGGGCUCAACUCCGGAUCUGCGGUGGGUACGGGCAGACUAGAGUGAUGUAGGGGAGACUGGAAUUCCUGGUGUAGCGGUGAAAUGCGCAGAUAUCAGGAGGAACACCGAUGGCGAAGGCAGGUCUCUGGGCUGACACUGACGCUCAUGCACGAAAGCGUGGGGAGCAAACAGG
rnacentral:rRNA from 1 species